AGCGAACGCUGGCGGCGUGCCUAACACAUGCAAGUCGAACGUGAAAAGGGAAACCUGAGUAAAGUGGCGUACGGGUGAGUAACGCGUAGGUAAUCUACCCCAGAAUCUGGAAUAACCUGCCGAAAGGCGGGCUAAUACUGGAUAGAGCGAGGGAACUCGUAAGAGAGUUUUUCGGGAAAGGGAGCCCGCAAGGGCCUUCGUUCUGGGAUGAGCCUGCGUCUCAUUAGCUAGUUGGUAAGGUAACGGCUUACCAAGGCGAUGAUGAGUAGCUGGUCUGAGAGGAUGAUCAGCCACACUGGAACUGAAACACGGUCCAGACUCCUACGGGAGGCAGCAGUGGGGAAUCUUGCGCAAGGGACGAAAGUCUGACGCAGCCACGCCGCGGGAGUGAAGAAGGCCUUCGGGUUGUAAAGCUCUGUCGGAUGGGACGAACAUCUUCAUAGUGAAUAGCUAUGAGGACUGACGGUACCAUCAAAGGAAGCACCGGCUAACUCCGUG
rnacentral:rRNA from 1 species